GCCUUGGCAGGCAGAUUGUUUACUGCUGUGCCACCAGGGAAGCCCAAAGGGAAUAUUAUUCAGCGUUAAAAUAAAAACAAAACAAAAACUGUCAAACCGAGAAAUGGAACGGAGUUAACGUCAAUGUCUAUUACUAAGUAAAAGAAGCCUAUCUGAAAAGAUUACGUACUGUACGACUCCAAUUAGGUGACAUUCUGGAAAAGGCAGAACUAUGCAGAAAUUCCCUGACAGUAAAGCAGUUAAGCCUCUGUCUUCCAAUGCAGACGAUUGCCAGGCCCUAUGCAGCAGCAGUGAAUUUGGAUUGUCUAUAAAGUCAUCGUCUUUAUCAAGCACCCAGGGUGAUUUUAAUGCUGGGUGACACGUUGAGAGCAACAAAGCUACAGAGAAAAAGGACAGUAAGGAGGUUCAGCUGAAGAACUACGCAGACCUUCCAGACUUCCGUGUUGUCCACCUCCAAUUCUUCUCCCAUCCAAUCAGGCCCGCGUGGUAUAAAGCACCCGUCUACAUCAGAAGCUCUGACCUCCAUCUGACGGGACAUAACAUCACGCUCCUCCCAGACCUGGAAACUGUGAGGCUUAUUGCUUCAAAAUACAGUCAUCCAUCCAAACAGAGAUACCCCAGUUUGGGCGUAGUCUGUCAGCUGUAAUUUCUACUACUUUCCUAACUUACAUUUCCUCCAGUCCAUGGAGAUAUGUGACUUAAUUCUGAGUUACAUACUUAAAAUGUGGUGGUUAUAAUUGUUCUCAGAUGAAUAAAAAAAUAUUUUUUAAGUUCAUAUAAAAAUAAACUAAUAUAAACAUAAAAAUCAUAAAUUAAAAACAACUUUAAUUUUACUCAUAAGGUAUUUUAAAAGAAAAUGUGUUGCUGUUUAGUUGCUAAGUCAUGUCCAACUCUUUUGUGGCCCCAUGGACUAUAGCCUGCCAUUCCCCUCUAUCCAUGAAAUUCUCCAGGCAAAAAAUACUGGAAUGGGUUACCAUUUCCUCCUCCAGGAAAUCUUCCCAACCCAGGGAUCGAACCUACAUCUCCUGCACUACAGGCAGAUUCUUUACUGCUGAGUCACCAGCGAAGGCCCUAAGGGAAACUACUAUUUUUAAGAAAAGAUUAGUUAAUAUUUUAAUAGCAAAUUAAAUAUGACAGAAAAACACCUUUUGAGAUAGAUACCUGGUAACAUCAGAACAAUUUUAAUUCCUAAAAUAGGCACAUGGAAUUUACAAUAAUAGAGGGCUUUGAGAAUCAUUUCAGAAUUAAUUCUGUGCCUUGGACAUUAAUUCCUUUGCCUGUCAAAAUUCAUUAAAAAUCAAUUUAGCUGCUUAUGUUUCAUCCUUGCUCCAAACCGAAAUAGAAUCUAUCAUUCAAAAUAAUUUUCACAAGUUUUAUACUGAUCAGUAUUAUUUAACAGUCCGUGAUCGUAGUUCAGACCAGGAAACACAAUUGGUUUCCUGGUCACCUCUGAACAACUAGUUAGGCAAAGAUAAUACACCAGAAGCAGCUGAUUAGAAACUCUAAGUU
ensembl:lncRNA